rnacentral:rRNA from 1 species
CGUGUAGGCGGCUUCGCCAGUCAGGCGUGAAAGCCCCGGGCUUAACCUGGGAACUGCGCUUGAUACUGUGGAGCUAGAGUUCGGGAGAGGAGAGUGGAAUUCCCAGUGUAGAGGUGAAAUUCGUAGAUAUUGGGAAGAACACCAGUGGCGAAGGCGGCUCUCUGGACCGACACUGACGCUGAGGCGCGAAAGCGUGGGGAGCAAACA